rnacentral:rRNA from 1 species
UACAGAGGGUGCAAGCGUUGUUCGGAAUUAUUGGGCGUAAAGAGCUCGUAGGCGGUUUGUCGCGUCGAAUGUGAAAACCCGGGGCUCAACCCCGGGCCUGCAUUCGAUACGGGCAGACUAGAGUUCGGUAGGGGAGUCUGGAAUUCCUGGUGUAGCGGUGAAAUGCGCAGAUAUCAGGAGGAACACCGGUGGCGAAGGCGGGACUCUGGGCCGAUACUGACGCUGAGGAGCGAAAGCGUGGGGAGCGAACAGG